rnacentral:lncRNA from 1 species
CUUGAUGCCUUGAAGACCUUUAACCCGCACAAUAAUUGGAUAUUUCCUGUGGAAAACACCUUUUGGUAAAAUCUUGAGCUUACAUGGAAAGACAGCUUCCUUGUCUGCAGCAGCUAACUCCUUCUCCUUUUCCUCCUUGGGGUUUUUCAUAUAGGCCUUAAUCACCUCAUGAAUUAUAUCACCAACAAAAAUGCCAAGAUCUUCUUUUCAAGCAUCACACUGGCCUUCUUCACCCACAGUUGCUCUCUCUCAAGCAAGUUCCCUUGAACUUGUGACUCAGAGUCUCACAAGUUCCUGCUUCUGCAACCAUUGCAUUUGGCCCCAUCCCUACAUUUUAAACACAAACAUUAGUAUUCAUAGUUUCAUACAAAAAGUUCAUUUACAUCUAGUAAUAGAGAUUAAAACAGUGAGAAAAUCAGAAGGAUGUUGCUCAUAUAUGAUUAUACCAGAAGCAUGAGAGCAACAAAGAAAAGUCGAAAGAUAAGCUUCCUCCUCCACAGCAGCUAGCUCCUUCUCCUUUUCAUCCUUGAGGUUUUUCAUAUAGGCCUCAAUCACCUCAUGCAUUAUAUCACCAACAAAAAUCUUCACACCCAAUUUAUCUGCUAGUUUCUGGGCCUCGGGUGUCACUUUGACCUCAAAUGCCAAGAUCUUCUUUUCAAGCAUCACAUUGGCCUUCUUCA